CCGUUUGCAUCCCCAGCCAGCGACGCUCGCUUCCGCAGCCGCCAGGUGCCUGGUCUCCUGCUCCACGGCUGCCAUCCGCUUCCCUUUCUCCUCCUCCCCACCCUGCUGCAAGCAAAGCUCACUGCUUUCACUUGGAUUACAUAUAAAAACCCUGACCUUGGCCAUCCAAUGGAGUGUAAGUGACUUGAUCUGGAUGCACCUGCUGUGUGCAAUUUUUUUGUCCUUUGCUAUGAACAAAAGCUCGUGACCGGGAGAGCCGCAGUAUACAGGCGGGCAGUCGAGUCUUCAGCUAAAGACAGUGCCGCGAUGUGAAGAAGGACUUAUAUAACAGUGCCCACAAGCAGCAUGUCAACAAGCUGGGUGUUCUUGCGGCUACCUCCCGCAGUUGUUAUUACAAGUGCAAUUCAGGCUCUUCAUUUCAUUUGGAUGAAGCAACCGAACACAAGUGCACAACCGGAAUAACGAUGUGGAGAUGAAGAACUCAUUUUAUCUAAUCCAUGGAGUUCAUUUCUCCUAAAUUUAGAAGUUCACAUCUCCUGCUAAUUGGAGCUAGGUACUUGAGAAGUCCACUCUCAUCAUCCAAGCAUUACAUGCAUAUACAGCGGGGACUCCCGGAGCGCUGCCACCCUAACAAGGCGAUGCCGUAGAGGACGAGGACAUAA